rnacentral:rRNA from 1 species
UACGGAGGGUGCAAGCGUUAUCCGGAUUCACUGGGUUUAAAGGGUGCGUAGGUGGAUUGGUAAGUCAGUGGUGAAAUCUCUGGGCUUAACCCGGAAACUGCCAUUGAUACUAUCAGUCUUGAAUACCGUGGAGGUCAGUAGAAUAUGUCAUGUAGCGGUGAAAUGCUUAGAUAUGACAUAGAAUACCAAUUGCGAAGGCAGCUGGCUACACGAAUAUUGACACUCAGGCACGAAAGCGUGGGGAUCAAACAGG